UACAGAGGGGGCAAGCGUUGUUCGGAAUUACUGGGCGUAAAGGGCGCGUAGGCGGCCUGUUAAGUCGAACGUGAAAUCCCCGGGCUCAACCCGGGAACUGCGUCCGAUACUGGCAGGCUUGAAUCCGGGAGAGGGAUGCGGAAUUCCAGGUGUAGCGGUGAAAUGCGUAGAUAUCGGGAGGAACACCGGUGGCGAAGGCGGCAUCCUGGACCGGCAUUGACGCUGAGGAGCGAAAGCCAGGGGAGCAAACGGG
rnacentral:rRNA from 1 species